GAUGAACGCUGGCGGCGUGCCUAAUACAUGCAAGUCGAGCGAACAGACGAGGAGCUUGCUCCUCUGACGUUAGCGGCGGACGGGUGAGUAACACGUGGAUAACCUACCUAUAAGACUGGGAUAACUUCGGGAAACCGGAGCUAAUACCGGAUAAUAUAUUGAACCGCAUGGUUCAAUAGUGAAAGACGGUUUUGCUGUCACUUAUAGAUGGAUCCGCGCCGCAUUAGCUAGUUGGUAAGGUAACGGCUUACCAAGGCAACGAUGCGUAGCCGACCUGAGAGGGUGAUCGGCCACACUGGAACUGAGACACGGUCCAGACUCCUACGGGAGGCAGCAGUAGGGAAUCUUCCGCAAAGGGCGAAAGCCUGACGGAGCAACGCCGCGUGAGUGAUGAAGUUCUUCGGAUCGUAAAACUCUGUUAUUAGGGAAGAACAAAUGUGUAAGUAACUAUGCACGUCUUGACGGUACCUAAUCAGAAAGCCACGGCUAACUACGUG
rnacentral:rRNA from 1 species